rnacentral:snRNA from 1 species
GUGCUCGCUUCAGCAGCACAUAUACUAAAAUUGGAACGAUAUAGAGAAGAUUAGCAUGGCCUCUGUGCAAGGAUGACCAAAAAAAAAAUCAGAGGGAAAAUUAUUCC